rnacentral:lncRNA from 1 species
UAUAAUAUUUAUAUUUUAUUAAACGGGGAAGGCAUUUUCGUAGGUAGGCCGUUUUGUUUGGCUUUAUUGGACGUGAAAACAAACUUAAAUGUAGUCUAAUGAAAUUUCUACUAGCAUGUGUUCGAUUUGACUUGAAGUUCGCAAGUUAUUGGAACCUGCUUCAAAGCAUAGAAAUCUUGACAAGGAAAGCAUCACAUGUUUCACGCCUGUUCAAGCUUUAGAUAUUUGAAGCCGUAUGAAUCAGCCUGUGAAAUUGGUUAUGCAUCCAUAUCAGCUGUCAAUCAAGGAAUCUUUAUCCUAAAAUUGUUUUAUUAAAAAAAAAAAUUUACUAAUUCG